rnacentral:rRNA from 1 species
GUGUCAGCAGCCGCGGUAAUACGGAGGGUCCGAGCGUUAUCCGGAAUCAUUGGGUUUAAAGGGUCCGUAGGCGGGCCUGUAAGUCAGGGGUGAAAGUUUGUGGCUCAACCAUAAAAUUGCCUUUGAUACUGCAGGUCUUGAGUCAUGGUGGGGUUGCCGGAACAUGUGGUGUAGCGGUGAAAUGCAUAGAUAUCACAUAGAACACCGAUCGCGAAGGCAGGUGACCAACCAUGUACUGACGCUGAUGGACGAAAGCGUGGGUAGCGAACGGGAUUAGAUACCCCGGUAGUCCACGCCGUAAACGAUGGAUACUAGCUGUGGGGACUUCGGUCUCCGUGGCCAAGCGAAAGUGAUAAGUAUCCCACCUGGGGAGUACGUUCGCAAGAAUGAAACUUAAAUGAAUUGACGGGG